rnacentral:rRNA from 1 species
UACGUAGGGUGCAAGCGUUGUUCGGAAUUACUGGGCGUAAAGGGCUCGUAGGCGGCCAACUAAGUCGGACGUGAAAUCCCCAGGCUCAGCCUGGGAACUGCGUCCGAUACUGGAUGGCUUGAAUCCGGGAGAGGGAUGCAGAAUUCCAGGUGUAGCGGUGAAAUGCGUAGAUAUCUGGAGGAAUACCGGUGGCGAAGGCGGCAUCCUGGACCGGCAUUGACGCUGAGGAGCGAAAGCCAGGGGAGCAAAGCGGG